UUAACAUUUGUUAUAAACAGAUUCAGACAGAAGACAUGGUAAUGCAAGAGUUUAAUGUAUACCUCCCGUGGGGACUCCCCUCAGGUGGCCAAAGCCAUCUUCAGAGGUGACGAAUCACUGCUCCACGGAAGCAACAGGAAAUGUACUCGGAAUGGGUUUGUAUAUGUAUAUUCGCAAGGAAUACGCAUUUACUUUUAAUGAUCCUUCCGCAGGUUCACCUACGGAAA
rnacentral:misc_RNA from 1 species